rnacentral:rRNA from 1 species
CCUACGGGUGGCAGCAGUGGGGAAUAUUGCACAAUGGGGGAAACCCUGAUGCAGCGACGCCGCGUGAGUGAAGAAGUAUUUCGGUACGUAAAGCUCUAUCAGCAGGGGAGAAAAUGACGGUACCUGACUAAGAAGCCCCGGCUAACUACGUGCCAGCAGCCCCGGUACUACGUAGGGGGCCAGCGUUAUACGGAUUUACUGGGUGUAAAGGGAGGGUAGACGGCAGCGCAAGUCUGGAGUGAAAUCCCAUGGGUUAACCAUGGAACUGCAUUGGAAACUGUGCAGCUGGAGUGCAGGAGAGGUAAGCGGAAUUCCUAGUGUAGCGGUGAAAUGCGUAGAUAUUAGGAGGAACACCAGUGGCGAAGGCGGCUUACUGGACUGUAACUGACGUUGAGGCUCGAAAGCGUGGGUAGCAAACAGGAUUAGAUACCCUUGUAGUC